AUGACGUGAUUAUUUCCUGUCUCAUAUCGCAUUGCAUUGCUCAAGCUGGACCGAAUGAAUCAGUAUUGAAUUAACUCGCGGUCAGAAUGAAUCGAAUUUUUUUUUUUUGCUUUAUUAUUUAUUUAUUUGCAUCUAGAGCUCGGCGUGAGAUAUUUUACUCCUGAUGUACACGGUGAUAUCAUCAGCCUGGAGAAGAUGGUUGAAUCCGAAGAGCCGAUGUGUUUAGCACGGACGAACUUCUGCACCGUUCCUCCUCGCGCCAGGCUGAGCGUGUUCACGUCGCGCGUGUGAAGUAUGAAGAAGAGUGUCAUGCCUCUCUAAAAUGCCGCAUCGGUGCUAAAAGGUGAGGACCAUCUUCUCCGAUUCAACUCCGCAACGCCGAGGCUUCCACAGCAGAGAAAUCCUGCCAUCACGCGCAUCACCGCAUUACCGAAGUUACACUCGAGGAACGCGCGUUUUCCCGUGCACGCGUAAUAACGACGACGAUUUCGCAUUCAAAUCACCAACGCUUCGUGAAAACAGUGAUCAAGCAGGCAGCGGAUGAAGCAUGUGUGUGUGUGGAUGUAUGUCAGUGUGUGUGUCCUCUUUCUCUCUCUCUCUCUCUCUAUCUCUCUCUCUCAGGGCGCGGAUGGUGCAGUGCUCUCCCGCAGCGCUCCCCGCAUGCACAGCCGCACAGGGUCGUGGUGGAUCCCGGGGACUCUGGGCAUGAGAUAGGAAUACACCUGACCCUGGAUGAGACAGCAGUUCAUCUCAGGAUACAGUGAUACACACACACACACACACACACACAUUCACAACUUGAGACAAUUUAUCUUCACCAAUUCAACUUCUGGCAUGUUUUCUCCUGCUGGUAGGAAACCGGAGAACCCAGAGGGAACCCAUGGGGAGAGAAGUGACACUGGGAGGCACAGAGCUGAGACACAUCUCCUUUUAAUUAUUUGUUUGUUUUUUAUUGAUUAUAUUGAUACUGAUGUUAUAUUGAUACUGUUACAUUUAUAUGUAUUUGAUGUAUGAAUUUUAUGUAUUAUAUAUGUAAUAAUAAUAAUAAUAAUAAUUCCUCCAAUUAUUUAUUUAUUUUAUAUUUAAUUUUAUUUAAUUUCAUUUCGUUUUAAUUAAUUAUUAUUUUUUUUAAAUAGGGAGGCUAUUUCUAUAUUUAUAAUGAUGGUAGACAAAGGUGGCGAUCAGUGCAAAAGUUUGUACCCCCCGUCAUUUCUGUGUAAGAACAGAAGAAAAAUGCAGCCCAGCAACAUCUGGCCUGUAAUCCAUGUAAGAUUAAAUCAGCAGAAAAAGUGCUGAGACCCUCUCUGUCUCCAGAAAAGGAGUGGGAACUUGAAAAGACGGUUUUAAUGAGUAUUUUAUUUUAUUCAGCCUUUUGUUUCUACAUCUGUAGAGACACAUUAAAUGGUUGUUUGGUGUCA